rnacentral:tRNA from 1 species
UUCCGAUUAGUAUAGAGGUAGAAUGCCUGACUGUCACUCAGGUGGCCGGGGUUCAAUUCCCCGAUCGGAAG